AUUUCCUGCUAUUUUGCUUUCUCUUUGUUGCAGGUGCAAAGAAGAUAUACUACCCCUCAGGGUUUCAUGCUUUCUUCCUUUUACCACGAGGAUGGUCAAUAAACUGGGGGGAAAGCCAACUCACAAAUGACAUUUUAGAUGCUAAUGGGAGGAGAAAGAAUGGAAAGAGAAUUUUCCCAAACUGAAUAUAACCCUUGCCUCUAAAAAUCACAGGUCUCUGGUCCUGGAUGUCCAUACCACAGACUUGUUAGUUUGAUCGCAGUUUCUUCUUGAAAAAUGCAAGUAGUUCUGCUUGCAGGAAAAUGUGGUUUUGACACAGAGAAUAACUCCUUCCAUAAGGUGAACCCUUAUGUCUCACUCUUCCUAUCUGAGAAAGUUGUCUAGCAAUAAUACCUCAGUAGGCCAUGAAAAGGAGCCAAGGGAACAGCCUUUAUUGAAAGGGAGAUAAGCACUGCAAGAGCACAGAACCAAGAGGUUGAGACAAGCUUGGAGCCACUACAUCCCAAUUCCACUAAACCUCAUCACCUGUGUGAAAGGGACAUAGAGCUAGGACUGCCAUGCUCUUCUCAGCAACAACCCUUCUGUCCUAGGUCACCUCCCUGGUGACUGAGAGUGGGAUGCAUCCUUACUGCAGCCUCUGAAUCCUGAGUGACACUCUGUGAUGCUCUACUACUCUCCUGGCAGUCCUGAACCCAGUGCUUCCCUCCCACUUGUGUGUCAUGGUUCAUUGCCUCAUGUGGGAACUGCUCCUGCAGUCCUCAGGAAAAAGGAAAAGAGCACUAUUCAGAGCUGUGGUCUUGACCAAAAACAUGAGAUGCUGGGAAACAACUCCAGUAAAUAUGUCCCCCGUUUCCUGCUGGUGAUACACAGUUGAUUCCUCCAGCAAUUAACAAUUUCUGUAUGAGAUGAACUAAGUGGACCUAGACACUGGUAGAGAUGAGUGAGGAAGACUAAGGAGGCUGUAGGAUAAAGAGUGACACUGAGAGGGUGGAUACUAACUGAUCAAAGUCUUUAUCUAUAUGAGGGCUUAGGGGAAUGAAAUGAAGUUGGAAAAUGGUAGGCCCAAAGUAAAUAAAAGUCAAGUGUUCUUGGAAUAGCCAGUUAUUAUUCUGUGAAAUGCCUUGCUACAGCAUCUUGUGAAAGUUAACGUCUUUCAACAGCAACUGGACACAUUAGAAAAAAAACCAUCAAAAGUUAUUAGAUAUAAUCACAUUUUUCUUAUGAUGUCCCCUGUGUUGGAGGUGAGAAAAGCGUUGUUUUGGAAGUGCUACUAGCUUUUAACUUCUCACAUUCUCUGAGCAUAUCUGGUUGUGGCCACUGUAGGAGUCAACACCCUGGAGUUUUGUUGUAUGCUCACAAGGCCUUUCCCAUUUACUUGAACCGUUUUCUGAAGGAUGAGCCACAUCAUGCCAAGGCUUUCAGAUACUACAGAAUGGCAGCAGGCAAUACACUCCAGAGAUGUAAGAUAAAUAUGGCCCAUAGACCUGCAUGGGAGGGUGGUCAUCUCCCAUGGGCUGUAUGAGCAGGGUGAUGUCAUGUGUUAAAUAGAUGAGAAGCUGUGGUUUGUGUCAGAGGGCCUUCUUGUUAUGAGGAGUCAAAUGUUCUGGGCUAACAAACUCUAUGCAACCGCACGUGCCACCUGAUGUAUAUCAUGGACAUGGAAGGUCCAUGCAAGUGUGAUUGUCUGUACAAUGUGAAUAUAAGGUGGUCCUUAUCAAUGGACCAUGGACGAAUAUUUGUUCCCUUAAAUAGAUUUCAAAGUCUGCAUGAAUAAAAUCAUGGAAGUAAGUGACCAAUUAUUUUUCAUAUAAACUAAAUACCAAAAUAGGGGUUUUUUGAGGAUUAUUUACUCCUAUAUUAAUAAAAAUGUUGUCUCAAGAAGGUAAAAAAUUUUAAGGAUUAUUUAAAUUGUGUUUCUGUUUUGAGUUCAAAAGAAGGCAUCGAGAAAAAUAAGGGGACUGUGUUGAAAUUACUACCAUUGUUAUUAAAAACAAUUCUUUUGAGCCUGUGUCUAGGUUGGAGGGAGUAAUAAACAUUUCAAAAAUCAAGGGCAGAUUUACAAGGGCUGAACAACUGUAGUAAGAAUUUCAAAGGAGCUCAUCUCCUAUUCAAACUAUGAUUAAUCUGUCAUUUGUUCUUAAAUUUAAAUGCUAUCAAUUUUACUUUUAGGAAAUGUUACUAUAGAACCAGGAGUAAAGCCAAGACACUAUUAUUUUCCCGGUACAGUAUCUCUUCAGGUGGUCAGGUUUGGCACAGGGAAAGGGUGAUUAUGCUUUGUUUAUCUACUAUAGAAUUUUAGGGAAAUGCAAACACAGAUCUCUUAAAUAUUCAGUAGAUUCCAUUCUGAAUAGAAAAAUGCAAAUACCCUAUCUGAUUUAUUAAAGAUGUCAACAAAGCCAGCAUAAUCUGACAAUUUAAACAAUUUGUUCAUGGUUAACAUUCAUUUCAGUCUCUCCUUAAUCCCAAAUCAUAAUUGAAUCUAACUAACUUUUAUCUGACACCAAGAAGAUUGAGUCUGUUCUAAGAAUGUUCACUCUGUAAUUGAGAGAAAUGGAUAUCCUGAGCUCUGAAGUCCACUUUGAAGACAAAUAAUCUUGAAACAUGUCAUUGGAUAAACAGUAUUUGUAUCACCCCCAAAAGUAAAUAGAUUUGGAGAUCAAAUGAUGAUUGCUAGUAAAAACUUAGAGGUUUUUCUUUAAAUGUGGUUAUUUUCCAGAAUUAUCUGUACUCAAGCUGUCUCAGAAUACAGAGAUAACAUGGGGUAAAAAUAUCCUAAUGACAAUGAAAAGAAUUUGUUUAUGUAUGGCACAUUCCUUAAUUGUGUGAAACAAUCAUAGGAAUAUUAAUUCCCCUCUUGAUGAAGAAACCAACACUUCAGUUACUUUAAGAAAAUAGAAAAAAUGCCUCCCUGAUUCAGCACAGAAUUCAUUCAAGCCUGUAAAAAUUUGUAUUAAUUCCAUAUAUCAUUGUUAUAAAAACU